rnacentral:rRNA from 1 species
UACGUAGGGUGCAAGCGUUAAUCGGAAUUACUGGGCGUAAAGCGUGCGCAGGCGGUUAUAUAAGACAGUUGUGAAAUCCCCGGGCUCAACCUGGGAACUGCAUCUGUGACUGUAUAGCUAGAGUACGGUAGAGGGGAUGGAAUCCGCGUGUAGCAGUGAAAUGCGUAGAUAUGCGGAGGAACACCGAUGGCGAAGGCAAUCCCCUGG